GCAUCCAUGGCUGAUUGGUUAAAGCAACCAACUCAUAAUUGGAGAUAUGUAGGUUCAAUUCCUGCUGGAUGCA
rnacentral:tRNA from 1 species